GAGACAGGGCCAACGAGUUACGUUAAGUAGCAAGGUUAAGCACGUAAGGUGCGGAGCCGUAGCGAAAGCGAGUUUUAACUGAGCGUUCAGUUACUGGACGUAGACCCGAAACCGGGCGACCGACCCAUGAGCAGGAUGAAGCGAAAGUAAAAUUGCGUGGAGGUCCGAACCCACGAGCGUUGAAAAGCUCGGGGAUGACUUGUGGGUAGCGGUGAAAUUCCAA
rnacentral:rRNA from 1 species